CAAUUUAAAAAGAUCUCCCCCUGAAUUCCCUUUCCUUACAUGUUUGCAGUAUAAAUCUCUGGUUCCAAGAGAAACCCCUUGGCUCAAGCAGCUGUAGUUCCAGUUCAUUGCUAGUCACAUUCCCCAAGACCAAAGAAAGAUCACUUUGUUGAUUACAAAUGGAAAUGGAUGUCUUUACAAUGGUGAACUCUGGAUGUCACCAUGAGGGGAGUCCGAGGCUAUCACCUUGGCCAAGUCAUUGAAGUCUCGUGACGGGACAAACUGACAUCGUGUGCCUCCUGUUGUGAUAUCCUGAUCAGGAUAUGACAUCAUCUGUGAAAUACUCUUGCUGAAUAUUUUAGUUGGGAAUCUAUUUUUGAGGAAAUAAUCAGACAAAUCCAAAUUGUGGGACAUUCUGUAAAACAACUACCUUGGAUUUUUUUAAAAUGUCAGUGUUGUGAAAAACAAAAAACUAAAGGACUGGAGAACUGUACUGGUUUGACGUUUUUCAGAGGAAAAGUUGAGAGAGAAAGUACAGGAGUGAAGACUCACAGUCAGCUUUACCAAGAGGGUUGUUACAAGCAUGAGCACAGAUAAGAAAUGAUGCCUGGAGAAAUUGAAACAUUCUCCCCUUCCUCUCAGUCCUCUGCCCACAGUUCCUGUGUGACCAGGCACAGCAACCAGCCGCUUGUCCUCAGGGCAGUCAGCGCCUAUUAGUGAGCCAGAGGAGAGUGGUGCCACUAGUCAAAUCAUUCCCUUGUGACCUGCGGGAGCUCUGUGUCUGGUCCUGGAUGUGCGUCCUGGGGUCUGAAACUCUGACUGGAGCACUGGAAUGCAAGCAUACCUGAUGCUUCUGAGGGUGAACUGGAAACCUAGGAGCCCCAGUCUUCCAUGCAAGUUAGGAGAGACAGUAGUGACACCAAGAGCAAAGAGGGCAGAGAAGUAAACACAUGGCUCCCUGGAGAGAUGGUGGGCUCCUGAAAACGGAUGAUCCUGGGGCUACAGGAAUGAACAAAAUAGAGAAAAUAUCUGUCUGCAUGGAGGUUACAGAGCAACAAUAACAAUAUUGACCACCAGCUACCACAGCCACAUGACGGGGCUCUUGUGGAAUUUGCAGAACCUUGAGCUGUUUGGACUCUGCUUUCUAGACUGGAUUAGAUUACAGGAGGACUCGUUCACUAGCACAUGACUGGCUAUAUGCCAGCAGUGAGCACUUCUCUAAGCAGGGGUCCUGUGAUCUACCCAGUGAGUAGGUAAACAAUAUUCACAGGCAUGUGAUCCACUGUAUCCUAGGGCACCAUGGCCUGAGAAGAAUGCCGGUCCCUGCUUUCUGUCUCGUGGCAGAGACAGAAAAGAUUACGCGCUUUGCUUAGCAACAGAGAUGAAGUCAGUGGUGGCCCCUGGACUCUGAUUUCUAGACGUCUGACUCACAGCUCUCCUCCUGUUCCUGUUCCAACACACACACACACACACACACACACAUACACACACACACACCCCCCCCCACACCUAUGUGGUUCAAGCUAAACAGGGACAAGAUGACCUAGGAGGAGCUAAAGGAAGGAGAGAGCUUGUUAGGCCAACAUCAUAAAGUACUUUUAAUGGUACUUUUUAUAGGAAAGGCAGCAAGUGCUGUGGCAUGUUUAUUUCUUAAGGUGAAGUCUUCCUGAACACGUGUCCUGUAAUCUUUUGUGGAAGCAGCAGAAGAAAUGCAAAAGAGGGCUGGGGUUGGUCAGAAUGACAGUUCGACAAAUCUCUUCCUCCUGUGAAGUUGUGAAACUCAUCUUUCUUCUCUAUAAAAUGGGAAUCUUAAUCAUUCAUUGUUAGUUUGACAUUAGGGUUCUGAAACUCAGUGAUCACUUGGUAUCCAUUUACUCAGCAUACUUAUUACCAAGUACCAUCAUGUGCUAGUUCCUCCAUUAGGUGCUGAGGAUCCAGACAUGGGUUAGUUGGGUCCCUGCUCAAGAGGAAAUCAGAGUCUGGAUGCUUAAACAGAUAAUCCAAAGAGUUUGGAUCCCAGAGGCUGGAUCACUAUGGCUUCUUUUGGUCACACUGAUGAAGAGUUUGACCCUGGAACCAAGUUGCCUGUGUUGAAUCCUGGCUUUGUGUUGUUUAUUAGCUCUGUGACUUUGAGUGAAUUAAUAUCUUUUCCUAUUCUGUAAAAUGGAUAAUAAUGGUACCUGCUUCCUGGAUUGUUCCAAGGAUUAAAUGAAAUAACACAUG